AGUGAACGCUGGCGGUAGGCCUAACACAUGCAAGUCGAACGGCAGCACAGUAAGAGCUUGCUCUUACGGGUGGCGAGUGGCGGACGGGUGAGGAAUACAUCGGAAUCUACUUUUUCGUGGGGGAUAACGUAGGGAAACUUACGCUAAUACCGCAUACGACCUACGGGUGAAAGCAGGGGAUCUUCGGACCUUGCGCGAUUGAAUGAGCCAAUGUAGGAUUAGCUAGUUGGCGGGGUAAAGGCCCACCAAGGCGACGAUCCGUAGCUGGCCUGAGAGGAUGAUCAGCCACACUGGAACGGAGACACGGUCCAGACUCCUACGGGAGGCAGAAGUGGGGAAUAUUGGACAAUGGGCGCAAGCCUGAUCCAGCCAUACCGCGUGAGUGAAGAAGGCCUUCGGGUUGUAAAGCCCUUUUGUUGGGAAAGAAAAGCAGCAGGUUAAUACCCCGCUGUUCUGACGGUACCCAAAGAAUAAGCACCGGCUAACUUCGUG
rnacentral:rRNA from 1 species